rnacentral:rRNA from 1 species
GUCCUACGGGACGCAGCAGUGGGGAAUAUUGGGCAAUGGGCGCAAGCCUGACCCAGCAACGCCGCGUGAAGGAAGAAGGCCCUCGGGUUGUAAACUUCUUUUAUUCGGGACGAAACAAAUGACGGUACCGAAUGAAUAAGCCACGGCUAACUACGUGCCAGCAGCCGCGGUAAUACGUAGGGGGCAAGCGUUAUCCGGAUUUACUGGGUGUAAAGGGAGCGUAGGCGGUAAUGCAAGUCAGAAGUGAAAGCCCGGGGCUCAACUCCGGGACUGCUUUUGAAACUGUGUUACUAGAUUGCAGGAGG